GACGAACGCUGGCGGCGUGCUUAACACAUGCAAGUCGUACGGUAAGGCCCUUUCGGGGGUACACGAGUGGCGAACGGGUGAGUAACACGUGAGUAACCUGCCCACAACUUUGGGAUAACGCUAGGAAACUGGUGCUCAUACUGGAUAUGUGCUCCUGCUGCAUGGUGGGGGUUGGAAAGCUCCGGCGGUUGUGGAUGGACUCGCGGCCUAUCAGCUUGUUGGUGGGGUAGUGGCCUACCAAGGCGGCGACGGGUAGCCGGCCUGAGAGGGUGACCGGCGACAUUGGGACUGAGAUACGGCCCAGACUCCUACGGGAGGCAGCAGUGGGGAAUAUUGCACAAUGGGCGCAAGCCUGAUGCAGCAACGCCGCGUGCGGGAUGACGGCCUUCGGGUUGUAAACCGAUUUCAGCAGGGACGAAGCUUUUUGUGACGGUACCUGCAGAAGAAGCACCGGCUAACUACGUG
rnacentral:rRNA from 1 species